rnacentral:rRNA from 1 species
UGGGGAAUUUUGCACAAUGGAGGAAACUCUGAUGCAGCGACGCCGCGUGAGUGAUGAAGAUCUUCGGAUUGUAAAACUCUGUCCUUAGUGAAGAUAAUGACAGUAACUAAGAAGCAAGCCCUGGCUAAAUACGUGCCAGCAGCCGCGGUAAUACGUAUGGGGCAAGCGUUGUCCGGAAUUAUUGGGCGUAAAGGGUACGUAGGCGGUUUAAUAAGUCCUAAUUAAAAGGCUAUGGCUCAACCAUAGUAUGGUUAGGAAACUGUUGAACUUGAGUAGAUGAGGGGAAAGUGGAAUUCCAUGUGUAGCGGUGAAAUGCGUAGAUAUAUGGAGGAACACCAAUGGCGAAGGCAACUUUCGGGAAUCAAACUGACGCUGAGGUACGAAGGCGUGGGGAGCAAACAGG